rnacentral:tRNA from 1 species
AUUCAGAUAGCUCAAAGAUAGAGCAUUCAAUUUGAUAUUGAAAGGUUCCAGGUUCAAAUCCUGGUCUGAAUA